rnacentral:rRNA from 1 species
AUACGGAGGGGGCAAGCGUUGUUCGGAAUUAUUGGGCGUAAAGGGCACGUAGGCGGUCAAGUAAGUUGGUGGUGAAAGCCCUCGGCUCAACCGGGGAAUUGCCCUCAAAACUGCUUGACUUGAGUCCCGGAGAGGGUGGCGGAAUUCCCAGUGUAGCGGUGAAAUGCGUAGAUAUUGGGAGGAACACCAGUGGCGAAGGCGGUCACCUGGACGGGUACUGACGCUGAGGUGCGAAAGCGUGGGGAGCAAACAGGAUUAGAAACCCGGGUAGUCC